rnacentral:lncRNA from 1 species
CUCUAAUACCCUCAAUUACAAUCUAAUCAAACACCUAAUUCCUACAGUGACCAAGACGGAGAUGAACGCCCUCUAAACCAACGUUUCUAAACCAAAGUUCAACAAAAGUUGACAAAUACUCUCACUCAAUGGAGAAGCAUUCAUCAAUUCAUCAAUAAUCAAGCAAAACUAAGAGAAUGAGCUAGCCUCAAAAGUAUUUAUACCUUAGGCUAAUAAUUACAAUUUUAGGGCCCAAAAGUGAUGCAAUUGCAAGAAAAGGCCCGGUAGGGGCUGUUUUGAUCCGCUCUUGAAAUGCUAGAGCAGAUCGAAAGCAGAUCCAAAGCACCUUGGGCGCAAUUCCUUUCCAAGGGGCUUUCUAGCCCCGUUUUGCCUUCCCUUGCCUCCUCCAAUAAUCCUUGGACCAAUGUGAGUGCGAUCAACAACAAAUAACACCCUCUAGAUGGUAAGGAAGCUUCUUUAAGUACCUUCCGCUUCAUGAACAAUCCUUGGAUCCUUUGAAGCUCCCGAACUUGACUUCUAGUGAAUGGCUUGGAGCUAAUCCGGUCUCCAUCUUGAGAAGAAUUUGACCUCAAAUUCAAAGGGGUAUCAUUUUCUAUCAUGUCAAAGAGUGAAAGAUCGCACACAUUAAAGGUAUUGUGCACUUGAUAUUCCGAAGGAAGGUCAAUCUUAUAAGCAUUGUUGUUUAUCCUUUCAAGCACUUGAAAUGGACCAUCUCCUCGGGGCAACAAUUUGGCUUUUCUUUGGGUUGGAAACCUAUCCUUCCGAACGUGCACCCACACCCAAUUAACCAGUUCAAGCACAAGCCGCUUCCUUCCCUUGUUUACUCUUUUAGCCACCUCUUGAUUCUUCUUCUCAAGGCAAAUUCUCACCUUUUCAUGCAACUUCUUCAUGGUUUCCGCCCUCGUCUCUAUCUAAGCUUAUCACAACAUCACUAGGCAAAGGAAUGAGAUAUAAAGGGUAAGAGGGUUAAAAACAUAAACACAUUCAAAGGGAGUCAUAUCAAUACUCGAAUGGAUAACACGAUUAUAAGCAAAUUCGACUAGAGGUAGGUGGUCCUCACAAGAGGCCAUUUUUCCUUUAACUAAGGUGCGGCUUAUAGAACCUAAGGUUCUAUUUACCACCUCUGUUUGUCAUCCAUUUUUGGGUGGCAAGAUAUUGAGAAAAGCAAUUUGGUGCCAAUCCUACCCCACAACGACCUCCAAAAGUGACUUAGGAACUUAAGAGUCCCUAUCACUAACAAUGGUCCGAGGAAUUCCAUGUAUUUUGACAUGCUCAACAAACAAAGAAGCCAUAUUAGAAGCAUCAUCAAUUUUAUGACAUAGAAUGAAAUGGGACAGUUUUGAGAACCUAUCAACCACAACAAAAAUGCAAUCUCUACCCCUCCUUGUCCUAGGGAAUCCCAAAACAAAAUCCAUAGAGAUGUCAAGCCAUGGGCGUUGAAGAAUGGGUAGUGGGGUGUAUAAUUCUGGAGGGAGAAGGCGGGAUUUCGCACUUCUACAAUCCAUGCAUUGGCCACAAAUUCUGGUAACAUCUUGACGCAUCUUGGGCCAAUAAAAUUGUUCCUCUAAGACUCCAAGGGUCUUGUCAAUUCCAAAGUGACCCAUCCUACCCCCAUCAUGUUCCUCUCUUACAAACAAUUUUCUUCAUGAGCUAGAGGGCACACACAACCUUCUUCCUUUGAACAAGAAACCAUCAAACUUAGAGUAGGGCAUAGAAGCACUAUCCCUCUCCCACAAUUCCCCACCCAAUGUCUCAUAAUCGUGAUAGAUUUGAGCAAAUUUACGGUCCUCGGGGUCCAUUGUCUUUAGACUCUCAAAUCCCAUCAAUUUAGAAGGCAAUGUAGAGAUAAGAACAUGCUUCCUAGACAAUGCAUCGACUACCACAUUUUCCUUUCCCUUUUUGUAUUGAAUUACAUAAGGAAAAGUCUCUAGGAAAGCAAUCCACUAAGCAUGUCGUUUAUUGAGUUUAUCUUGGGCCCAAAGAUAUUUCAAGGAUUCAUGAUCGGUUCACAAUCUCCUUGGGCCACAAAUAAUGUAGCCAAUUACCCAAGGCUCCAAUCAAGGUGUAUAACUCUAGAUCAUAGGUGGACCAAUUUAGAGUUGCGCUCUUGAUCUUUUCACUAAAAUAGGCAAUAAGUUUAUGAUCUUGCAUUAAGACGGCACCUAUUCCUACCUUACUUGCAUCACAUUCAAUCUCAAACAUCUUAUCAAAAUUGGGUAAUUGCAAUAAGGGGACGGAGAUAAGCAUAACCUUCAAAGCUUCAAAUGCAUGGGCUUGCUCAUCACCCCAUUUAAAGGUUUAUCCUUACGGAUCAUCUCGGUCAAGGAAGCAGCAAUGGUACUAAAUCCUUUGAUAAAUCGCUUAUAAAAACUAGCCAACCCAUGGAAACUUCUUAAUUCGCCAAUGGAUUUCGGAGUAGGCCAAUUCUUGAUGGCGUCUAUCUUAGAUUCAUCCACCUCAACUCCUUUUGAGCUCACAACAAAUUACAAGAAAACAACUUCAUUCACACCAAAAGAACAUUUUUCAAGAUUAGCAUACAACUUCUCUUUUCUAAGCACUUCAAACACAUUUUGCAAAUGUAAGAAGUUCUUUAAGGGAUUUGCUAUAAACUAGAACAUCAUCAAAGAAUACCACAACAAACUUCCCUAUGAACGGUUUCAUCAUAUGGUUCAUCAACCGCAUUAAGGUACUAGGAGCGUUGGUGAGGCCAAAAGGCAAGACCAACCAUUCAUAUAGACCAAACUUGGUCUUGAAUGCGGUCUUUCGCUCAUCACCCAGUUGCAAUUUGGUGGGUACCCGCUUCUAAGAUCUAUCUUAGAAAACACACUACAACCAUUCAACUCAUCAAGCAUAUCAUCCAAACGGGAAAUUGGGUGGCGCUACUUUACCGUUAUUUUAUUGAUGGCUCGGCAAUCAAAACACAUGCACCAUGUUCCAUCUUUCUUUGGCACUAGCAAUACCAGAACUGCACAUGGACUCAAGCUCUCUUUAAUGUAUCUUGUUGAGGAGUUCCUCAACUUGCCUUUGGAGCUCUUUUGUGUCCUUCGAAUUACUUCGAUAGGCCAGUUUGUUAGGUAAUUGAGAACCCGACACAAAAUCAAUUUGAUGCUCAAUUCCUCGAAGUGGGGGUAAUCCUUGGGGAAGCUCAUUUGGGAACACAUCUUCGUAGUCCUGUAAAACAAGGAAAAUAGAAUGGGGGAUAGGAAAAGUAGAAUGGUUAGCAUGAAAAGCAUAGGCUAGGAGGAGCAGGGGUUUUUUGUCAUCAUGCUCUUUGAAAAGAUCUUUGUUCCUAGCCAACAUCACCAAGGGACUCUUCCCUUUCAACCACCUCUUCUCCUCUUCUUCAUCACGCUCCUCGGUUUGGUCCUUCUUCUCGCCUUGUUUCUGACCUUUCUCUUUCAAUUCUCUCAAUUUUUGGUGACCCUCAUUCACUUAAGAUGGCGAAAGUGGAUGGAGAGUGAAUUUCCGACCAUUCAACUCAAAAGAGAACCGAUUGGUCCUCUCGUCAUGCUUGGUUGAACGACCAUAUUGCCAUGGCCUCCCAAGUAAGAUAUGACAAGCUUGCAUGGGUAUCACAUCACAAUGCACCUCAUCAUGAUAAUUCCCAACUUUGAAUCGAAUGACCACUUGCCUAGUCAACUUCAACUCACCACAAUCAUUUAACCAUUGAAGCUUGUAUGGAGUGGCGUGUUUGGUUGUGGGCAACUUCAAGAAAUCAACCAAAGUAGCACUAGCCACAUUAGCAGAAAUUCCAUUAUCAAUGAUCAAAGAGCACACAUUUUCAUUUAUAAGACAUUUAGUAUGAAAUAUAUUCUCCCUUUGACUAGGGUAUUCCAUUAUCAAUGAUCAAAGAGCACACAUUUUCCUUUAUAAGACAUUUAGUAUGAAAUAUAUUCUCCCUUUGACUAGGGUCAUCUAUCGCCUUACUAAUCAUUGCAUGCCUCACGAAAAAAUUUGGAACCUCAUACUCUCCAUCUUGAGGCCAAGCAUUUUCAUUAUCCUCCUCUACUUGCUAAUCUUCUACGGACCCUUCCCCAUCUUGGGCUUUUUCAUCAUUCUCAUCUUCUAAUCCCACCUCUUCUCCAAGGUAAUACAAUUUCCCUUCCCUAAGGAUGACCCUUCUCCAUCUUGGGCUUUUUCAUCAUUCUCAUCUUCUAAUCCCACCUCUUCUCCAAGGUAAUACAAUUUCCCUUCCCUAAGGAUCACAUAUCUCCAGUUGGGACAUUCACUUGAGUUAUGUCCCAAUCCUUGACAUUUAAAACAUUGAAAACCCUUAGGAUUGGGAGUAGGAAACUUGUUACCUUCAUUCCUUGGCGGGUACUUUGGAGUGGUCUUCUCUGUGGGCUUCUUAUCAAUGGACUUGUAGUCCUUGUUCUUGUUCCAUCUCGAUGACAAUUGGGCUACCUCUUUAUUCUUACUCCAUGGGUUGGUAGAUGAGUACCUUUUUGGUUUGUAAGUUGCCCUUUCUUUGAUAUCCCUCUCAAUCUCCACAGCCACUUGAAAGAUUUCUUCUAUGGUCUCAAACUUGUAGAUAGUCAUGCAUGAGGAGAUAUCUUUGAUCAACCCAACUUUAAAGCAUAUGAUGUCAUGGUUCAUGUUCUCUCGAUGAUCGAGCUUCAAGACAAUUGUUGGAAUUCAUCAUAAUAGGCCACAACACUCUUACUACCUUGCCUCAAGUUGUACAACUUGGCACGUAGCUCGUGUCUAUACCUCUCCAAAGCAUACCUUUGCCUCAUGAAUACCUUCAACGCAACCCAUGGAGGGGUUGUCCUUCAUUCAACACAUUUCCAAAUCUUUUGACACAAUCCCACCAUGUGUUGGCAUACCCUUCAAAAUGGGCUGUGGCAUAGCAAUUUUUCUUCUCUUCGGUGACAUCAUUAACUUGGAAGAUCCUUUCACAAGAGGACUCCCAUGAGAGAUAAGCUUCGGGAUCACUAUCGUCUUUGAAAGUUGGAAGACUAACCUUGAUUGAAUUGAUACCCACAUCUCGAUCCCUAUUACAUUGUUGGUUCCAUUGAUCAUAACUUGGGGGCGGUUUCCCAAGUUUCCUCUACCAUUAGGCGCCGGACCAAAUCUUCCUCCUCGACCUCGAUAACCUCAUUGAUCCAUUGGUCUACCUCUCAUUUCCUCUACCAACAUGUCGACUUCAUCGAAUGCUUUGAACUCCGCUUGUUGUUCUUCCCUUUUUUCCUCGUCUAUUUGGAUGGGUUGGUUUUGGUUAAGGGGUGCUUGGAAUAGGGGAAUUUGGUUAAGCGGAGGUUGGGGUAUUCAGGUUCGAGAUUCAUCCUUUUGUGUUUAGUUGAAUUGAGGUUGGAGUGGUCGAACUGGAUUUCGGUUUUGUGGAUAUAUAGUGACUUGAGGAAUGGGAUCAUGUGCUUGUAUUAGUGGAUUGAUCAUUUGGUGACGGUUUUUCGAGGAAACAUGAACCGACGGAUUUGGAGCAUGCCCACUAGUCAAAGCAUGGUGGUGUUGAGGUGUGGAUAGGGAUGUGUUUUCCGACCUUCCAUGAUAUCCACUCUGCCACCAACGAGGGAUACACUCCCUUCAAGAGAAUCCACCUUAAGGACAACUGAAUUUAUCUUAGCGUCCAUAGAAUCAAUUUUACAAUUGAGAGUUUCAAUGGCCGCUAAGAUAGCAUUUGUUAGAGUGGUUAUCCAUGGUUUGGGAAGUUUCGUCGUCCGUAGCCACUGUACCUAUGAAGAAAGACACUCAAAAAACAAAAAAACACGUUAGCGUUAAAGAAAUUAUCCUCACAAACUCUUCAAACCUUUGUUUACCUCACAAUUGGAUCACAAAUGUUGAAAGAUACUUCGCGUGGUAAUUGAGGUGUCAAGUUCUACUCUUGAUUGAAUUGGAUUCUUGUUUGAAGGACUCAAAUAAAGAUGUAAGGACUUCGAUCAAGAAUUAACAACGAUAUCAAAAAAAGAAAAUCUUGAAAGAAAUGGGACGAUGAAUAAAUUCGGACUCAAGAUAGUAGGUGAAUUACUAGUUGUUGAUAGUUUUAAGAAUCAAGAGUUGAAUUUAAGAAUCAAGGAAUGAAACUAAGGAAUCAAACCUGAGCAAAUUGGAGUUUAGAAGUAUUAGAAUGCAUUUGAAACUUGAAUUGGACGUUGAGAAGGCUUGACAUGUGUUUCAGAGGUGUCACACACCUUGGGCGCACCUCUAGAGCACUUCCAGUGUAGGUGGGGAAGGCUACCCACUGUUUUGACCUAUGGCAACAGUUCCAGCGCACCUCCAGCACAAGUUGGACGCAGGAGAGGCCUUAGACACAGCCUUGUUGAGGUGCAACAGCAGGUUGGGAGCAGCAGGCUGGGGGCAGCUGCAGCACACCUUGGGCGCAGGUCAAUGGCAAGUCGGCCGCCCUUUGCUCGUUCCAAGGACGAAAAUGCCCUUUCUUGAUGCCCUUUGUGUAAUUUCUCUUCAAAUAUUCUUGAAAUCUUUUUAGAUGCUCAAACACAUACCCUUUCACUCUUUUUCUUCCUUCUUUUUGGAUCAAACACCCUCGUUUGUAUGAACUUUCAAUAUAAAUAUAACAAUCUCCUCAAGAACACAUAAAGAACUUUUUCUCCGGAGCUUGAAAUGAAUGAGUUGAAAUUUUGAACAUAGGCACUUCUUAGCCUCUUAACUCAUUCCAAACAUCAAUUUGCCCAAUAUCUUCACCAAAAUCUUCAGAUUUUUAAUUCACUUCAAACAUCUUCAAUCCAAGCUUCCAACAAGGACAGAACACUCAAAUAAGCUACAAUUUCACUCAAAUUUGAUUUAUAGACUCGUAUAGUGUUAGGGAAUGCAAAUCUAACACUAGAAACACAAGAAAACACAAAAAUUAAAAACUCCAAAUGUGACCUAAGACCUAAAAGGUGAAUAGUAAAAUAUUUUUUGUGAUUUACAAUUUUCUAAGACGACUAGACCCAAGAUUGACUUCGUAGGAAUGAAAUUAAGCUCAGUGCUGAUAACAAAUGAUACAAAAUCGAACUACGAAAACUAACAACGAUACCAAAAAGUAAAGAUAAUCGAUAAGAUAGAUGAUUAGACACAAGAAAAGAAGUAACCAAGAACAAAAGAGUAUGUCAAACUCUAAUACCCUCAAUUACAAUCUAAUCAAACACCUAAUUCCUACAGCGACCAAGAGGGAGAUGAACGCCCUCUAAACCAAAGUUCAACAAAAGUUGACAAAUACUCUCACUCAAUGGAGAAGCAUUCAUCAAUUCAUCAAUAAUCAAGCAAAACUAAGAGAAUGAGCUAGCCUCAAAAGUAUUUAUACCGUAAGCUAAUAAUUACAAUUUUAGGGCCCAAAAGUGACCCAAUUGCAAGAAAAGGCCCGCUAGGGGCUAUUUUAAUCCGCUCUUGAAAUGCUAGAGUGGAUCAAAAGCGGAUCCAAAGCACCUUGAGCGCAAUUCCUUUCCAAGGGGCUUUCUAGCCCCGUUUGGCCUUCCCUUGCCUCCUCCAAUGAUCCUUGGACCAAUGUGAAUGCGAUCAUCAACAAACAACACCCCCUUGAUGGUAAGGAGGCUUCUUCAAGUACCUCCCGCUUCAUGAACAAUCCUUGGAUCCUUUGAAGCUCCCGGGCUUGACUUGUAGUGAAUGGCUUGGAGCUAAUUCGGAUUGUAUCAAAUAGGAACUACUAAGAAGCACAUUCUGGACCUAAACAACCUGGCAAUGACAAGGGUGCCUAUAUGGCAAGAUGCUGCAGCAGACAGUCAGGCUUAGUAAAGUUCGAAGGAGAAUGCAAGAUUAGAAAGAGGACAAGGUCGGACAAUACUCCGAGAAAUAGGGGACUAUCUUUUUUGUAAAAUUGCUAACUGUUUCUAUUUCUAAACUGAAAACCAUAUUCAAAUAAGGAACUCUAAAGAUGCUGAAAUGGGGGACUGUCUUUAAGGAGAGAACCUGAAUGAGUCUAUCUAUCGAUAGGAGGGGAGGAAGGAAAAUUCGCAGUGAAAUCUUGAUCUGAGGUUUUGAGUAACAUUUUACAAGGGAAAAAAAAUAGUCAUGGAAAAUUAAUUGAAAAACAACGCUCCCUCAUAAGUUGCUUAUUUUGCCUGGAUAACUGCAUAUGAGGCUAGCCUAAUUAAGACAUUUUAUAAAGGUGAAGGAUGAAUAUAGUACGAGAUGCUUUCUAAGCGCUCAAGUUGAUUUGGAACUCCAGCAAAUUUGUCUCUGCACAGUAACUUCAGGUGGCAGAUAUGGGUUCAUUUGUUACAAUGGGUUAUGCCAUGAACAGUGAAGGAUGCCGUUGACAUCUGGAAAGGGAAGCAAGCAAGCAAUUGGAGGCCGUUUGGAACACUGCCGCAUGCAUUCGACUGAAUGUAUAGAAGACAUGUAACUGCAGAAGUUUCUAAGAAAAAUCGCGGGUUGUACCAAACCGAAAAGUUUUGGUAUACGAUGAACAAUUUAAAUAAUGUUGACACAUUGAUGCACUUUAUUGACUCCUAUGUUAUUUAAGUAGCGUUAGUCCUUUUCAUCUUUGCACCUUCUUGGACAUAAUCAAUAGGAAGCUCCAUUUUAGUAAGAUCUGGUUCUCCAGAUUUUGUUGCAGUUGCACUCAAUGAACUAGCGUAUGAAAGAGGAAGACAAUACAAAUGCAAUAAUAUCUGAAAGCAACCUCAACGGCAGAUCUAUGUCCAAUGAACGACUUCUUUCAGUUCCCCUGAACGAGUAAAUGUUAAAUACAUUCAGUUCUCUGCAUGCUUUGAAGUAUAGUUACCAAGUAAAUUUCCACGUUUCAUGUUUUAAUGAUUCAUGAAAGACAACAUAUGUGGAAUGUUGCUAGUAUUUAUUACAAACCAAGUACAAUAAAAGAAUAGAAGAAAAAUGAGUGACAUCGAAAGAUAACACAUGACAGUCGAUGGAUAAAAUACAUACUUG